GUGCGGAUAACCAAGGGAAAAUGUGGCCAAAUACAUUUCGAGAGAAAACCGUGUUCGUGGCGAUGUUGGUUAGGGUGUCGACUCUCUCUUACCUGACCGGGAAACGCGCAUUAAGACCAGACUGGAAUCGUCAGAUUAAGGAUCUGGCGCCUGUCAACACAACACCGAGACCGCCGACCAAAGUUGUGGUGCCAAGCCCCACUCCUUGCACCCCUACUCCAUAUGAUUUCAAGGGAGCAGACCAAGAGGACCCCAAGCUGAUCGAAUACAUCCGACGAGAGUUGUUGAUUCCACCAUCCAUCCAACCUUACAAACUUGGUCGCCCUGAUCUCGACCACCUUUCUCAGUUCAACCAG